rnacentral:rRNA from 1 species
UACGAAGGGGGCUAGCGUUGCUCGGAAUCACUGGGCGUAAAGGGUGCGUAGGUGGGCUGGUAAGUCAGUGGUGAAAUCUCCAGGCUUAACUUGGAAACUGCCAUUGAUACUAUCAGUCUUGAAUACCGUGGAGGUCAGCGGAAUAUGUCAUGUAGCGGUGAAAUGCUUAGAUAUGACAUAGAACACCAAUUGCGAAGGCAGCUGGCUACACGAAUAUUGACACUGAUGCACGAAAGCGUGGGGAUCAAACAGG